UACGGAGGUGGCAAGCGUUGUUCGGAUUUAUUGGGUGUAAAGGGUAUGUAGGUGUCUUGAUAAGUCGAAUGUGAAAUCCCAUGGCUCAACCAUGGAACUGCAUUUGAUACUGCCAAGAUUGAGUGUGGAAGAGGAGAGUGGAAUUUCCGGUGUAAGGGUGAAAUCUGUAGAUAUCGGGAGGAACACCAGUGGCGAAAGCGGCUCUCUGGUCCAACACUGACACUGAAAUACGAAAGCUAGGGGAGCAAACAGGAUUAGAUACCCUCGUA
rnacentral:rRNA from 1 species